AAUCUCCCCCAAAUUCACCCCAAAAUCCAAUGGGAACCCCAAAAUCCCCAAAUUCACCCCAAAACUCACCUGGAACCCCCAAAUCCUCCAAAUUCACCCCAAAAUCCCCAAAUUCACCCCAAAAUUCACCCCAAAAUUCUAAAAUUCCCCAAAUCCACCCCAAAAUCCCCCAAAUUCACCCCAAAAUCCCCCUGGGACCCCCCCAAAAUCCCCUCCCAGGCUUCACCUGCGGGGUGGGCGGAGCUUCGGCGUCACCCCCAACAUCUGGAUGGGGGGGUCCCUCCACACCUGGAUCGGGGGGUUCCUCCACAUCUGGAUGGGGGGGCUCCUCCCCCUCCACAUCUGGAAUCCUGGGGGGCGGGAACAGCUGGGUGUCCACAUCUGGAACGCCGGGGGGCUCCUCCCCCUCCACAUCUGGAUCCCCGGGGGGCUCCUCCCCCUCCACAUCUGGAACACCGGGGGGCUCCGGGCCCCCCACAUCUGGAUGGGGGGGUUCCUCCUGCCCCACAUCUGGAAUCCUCGGGGGCGGGAACAGCUGGGUGGCCACAUCUGGAACGCCGGGGGGCAGGAACAGCUGGGUGGCCACAUCUGGAUCGGGGGAGGGCGGCCCCUCCGCCACAUCUGGAAGGCCGGGGCUUCCCGGGCUGCCAACAUCUGGGGAGGGCAGGAAGGGCUGGGUGGGCACAUCUGGAUCCGACUCCUCCUCCUCCUCCACAUCUGGAUCCGGCUCCUCCUCCUCCACAUCUGGAUCCGGCUCCUCCUCCUCCACAUCUGGAAUUCGGGGCGGCAGGAACAGCUGGGUGGCCACAUCUGGAUCCCACCCCUCCCCUCCCCCCGCCACAUCUGGAGCCCCGGGCGGCCCCGGGGCGAUCCGCCGCCUCUUGGGGGGCCGAACAUCUGGAUCCUCCUCCCCCUCCUCCACAUCUGGAGCUUCCGGGAGGUUUUGGGUCGUUUUGGGCCUUUCUGGGGGCUCCACAUCUGGAUCCUCCUCCACGUCCGUGUCGCUCUCCACCCGGCACCGGAUUUUGGAGCUGACAACAUCUGGAUCCGGCUUUGGGGCCACAUCUGGCGUCUCAGGCACCUUCUGGGUCAUUCUGAGCCUUUUCAGGGGCUCCACAUCUGGAUCCUCCCCCUCCACAUCUGUGUCACUCUCCNNNNNNNNNNNNNNNNNNNNUUGGGUCAUUUUCGGCCUUUUUGGGGGCUCCACAUCUGGAUCCUCCUCCACGUCCGUGUCGCUCUCCACCCGACAUGGGAUUUUGGGGGGCUCCACAUCUGGAUCCGGCUUUGGGGCCACAUCUGGAGUUUCCAGGACAUUCUGGGUAAUUUUGAGCCUUUUUGGGGACUC
rnacentral:lncRNA from 1 species